UACAGAGGGGGCAAGCGUUGUUCGGAAUUACUGGGCGUAAAGGGCGCGUAGGCGGCCUGUUAAGUCGAACGUGAAAUCCCCAGGCUCAACCCGGGAACUGCGUCCGAUACUGGAAGGCUUGAAUCCGGGAGAGGGAUGUGGAAUUCCAGGUGUAGCGGUGAAAUGCGUAGAUAUCUGGAGGAACACCGGUGGCGAAGGCGACAUCCUGGACCGGUAUUGACGCUGAGGCGCGAAAGCCAGGGGAGCAAACGGG
rnacentral:rRNA from 1 species